AAAAAGUUAGUUUUAAGAAAAAUAUAGCUUUGUCAAAGCUAAGAUAUUAAUUUGUAAUACUUUUUA
rnacentral:tRNA from 1 species